rnacentral:rRNA from 1 species
UACAGAGGUGGCAAGCGUUGUUCGGAAUUACUGGGCGUAAAGGGCGCGUAGGCGGCCUUCUAAGUCAGACGUGAAAUCCCCCGGCUUAACCUGGGAACUGCGUCUGAUACUGGGGGGGCUUGAGUAUGGGAGAGGGAUGUAGAAUUCCAGGUGGUAGCGGUGAAAUGCGUAGAUAUCGGGAGGAACACCUGUGGCGAAGGCGGCCCCCUGGUCGGAUACUGACGCUGAGACGCGAAAGCGUGGGGAGCAAACAGG